AAUACUCUCAUGUGUUUUUGUUUAACAUGUGGACAAAGACUUUUAGGCAGGCACAAAAAAUGUCUUGUUUUGCAACCCACAACUCAUUGUACAGUAUGAGUUUUGAUACAUACAAGAAGGAACAUG
rnacentral:snoRNA from 1 species